rnacentral:rRNA from 1 species
UAGGGAAUCUUCGGCAAUGGACGGAAGUCUGACCGAGCAACGCCGCGUGAGUGAAGAAGGUUUUCGGAUCGUAAAACUCUGUUGGUAGAGAAGAACGUUGGUGAGAGUGGAAAGCUCAUCAAGUGACGGUAACUACCCAGAAAGGGACGGCUAACUACGUGCCAG